rnacentral:rRNA from 1 species
CGCGAGAGAGCUUGCUCUCUUGGCGGCGAGUGGCGGACGGGUGAGUAAUAUAUCGGAACGUGCCCAGUAGCGGGGGAUAACUACUCGAAAGAGUGGCUAAUACCGCAUACGCCCUACGGGGGAAAGGGGGGGAUCGCAAGACCUCUCACUAUUGGAGCGGCCGAUAUCGGAUUAGCUAGUUGGUGAGGUAAAGGCUCACCAAGGCAACGAUCCGUAGCUGGUUUGAGAGGACGACCAGCCACACUGGGACUGAGACACGGCCCAGACUCCUACGGGAGGCAGCAGUGGGGAAUUUUGGACAAUGGGGGAAACCCUGAUCCAGCCAUCCCGCGUGUAUGAUGAAGGCCUUCGGGUUGUAAAGUACUUUUGGCAGAGAAGAAAAGGUAUCCCCUAAUACGGGAUACUGCUGACGGUAUCUGCAGAAUAAGCACCGGCUAACUACGUGCCAGCAGCCGCGGUAAUACGUAGGGUGCAAGCGUUAAUCGGAAUUACUGGGCGUAAAGCGUGUGUAGGCGGUUCGGAAAGAAAGAUGUGAAAUCCCAGGGCUCAACCUUGGAACUGCAUUUUUAACUGCCGAGCUAGAGUAUGUCAGAGGGGGGUAGAAUUCCACGUGUAGCAGUGAAAUGCGUAGAUAUGUGGAGGAAUACCGAUGGCGAAAGCAGCCCCCUGGGAUAAUACUGACGCUCAGACACGAAAAGCGUGGGGAGCAAA